rnacentral:rRNA from 1 species
UGCAAGUCGAACGGUAGCACAGAGGAGCUUGCUCCUUGGGUGACGAGUGGCGGACGGGUGAGUAGUGUCUGGGAAACUGCCCGAUGGAGGGGGAUAACUACUGGAAACGGUAGCUAAUACCGCAUAACGUCGCAAGACCAAAGAGGGGGACCUUCGGGCCUCUUGCCAUCGGAUGUGCCCAGAUGGGAUUAGCUAGUAGGUGGGGUAACGGCUCACCUAGGCGACGAUCCCUAGCUGGUCUGAGAGGAUGACCAGCCACACUGGAACUGAGACACGGUCCAGACUCCUACGGGAGGCAGCAGUGGGGAAUAUUGCACAAUGGGCGCAAGCCUGAUGCAGCCAUGCCGCGUGUAUGAAGAAGGCCUUCGGGUUGUAAAGUACUUUCAGCGAGGAGGAAGGCAUUAAGGUUAAUAACCUUAGUGAUUGACGUUACUCGCAGAAGAAGCACCGGCUAACUCCGUGCCAGCAGCCGCGGUAAUACGGAGGGUGCAAGCGUUAAUCGGAAUUACUGGGCGUAAAGCGCACGCAGGCGGUCUGUCAAGUCAGAUGUGAAAUCCCCGGGCUCAACCUGGGAACUGCAUCCGAAACUGGCAGGCUAGAGUCUUGUAGAGGGGGGUAGAAUUCCAGGUGUAGCGGUGAAAUGCGUAGAGAUCUGGAGGAAUACCGGUGGCGAAGGCGGCCCCCUGGACAAAGACUGACGCUCAGGUGCGAAAGCGUGGGGAGCAAACAAGAUUAGAUACCCUGGUAGUCCACGCCGUAAACGAUGUCCACUUGGAGGUUGUGCCCUUGAGGCGUGGCUUCCGGAGCUAACGCGUUAAGUCCACCGCCUGGGGAGUACGGCCGCAAGGUUAAAACUCAAAUGAAUUGACGGGGGCCCGCACAAGCGGUGGAGCAUGUGGUUUAAUUCGAUGCAACG